GACGAACGCUGGCGGCGUGCUUAACACAUGCCAGUCGAACGGAAAGGCCCUGCUUUUGUGGGGUGCUCGAGUGGCGAACGGGUGAGUAACACGUUAUUAACCUGCCCUUGACUUUGGGAUAACUUCAGGAAACUGGGGCUAAUACCGGAUAGGAGCUCCUGCUGCAUGGUGGGGGUUGGAAAGUUUCGGCGGUUGGGGAUGGACUCGCGGCUUAUCAGCUUGUUGGUGGGGUAGUGGCUUACCAAGGCUUUGACGGGUAGCCGGCCUGAGAGGGUGACCGGCCACAUUGGGACUGAGAUACGGCCCAGACUCCUACGGGAGGCAGCAGUGGGGAAUAUUGCACAAUGGGCGGAAGCCUGAUGCAGCAACGCCGCGUGCGGGAUGACGGCCUUCGGGUUGUAAACCGCUUUCGCCUGUGACGAAGCGUGAGUGACGGUAAUGGGUAAAGAAGCACCGGCUAACUACGUG
rnacentral:rRNA from 1 species